GGUCGUUUGCUCAUAAGUAAAAAAGAAAAAGAAAAAAAAGAAGCGGAAAAUAAUGAAAAAGAGGUGGUUUGCACAGAGAGAGGGGAGUACUUGAGAAAAGGUACCCGGGUCACGAUCACUGCCCUGCAGGGAGCUGUAAAGGGCAGGCUCCGUGCUCAGACUCCCUGGCUUCCCACCAACCUCAACUUAGCACUAAAAUCAGCUGCGAGGCAUCAGCUCAAGGAGAGUUUUACACACUUAAAAGAGUGGACACAGCCGGGACAGCCUGUGUGAGAGAGAAGGAACAGGAAACCGCGACAUCCAGAAGGCAGGAAAAAAGGUCCUACCCCUGAUUUCUUCACCAGAGGAGCUGGGGCAGCUUCAGCAUCUAAAAGAGGAUUUCAGUCUACAUCAAGAGCUCAGAUUCAGCAGCAGGACUCAUGCAGGCAUCAAGACUGUGCCAUCCAAGCUCUCCAAACACCUCCUGUGACAGUGCCACGUGCCCAAGGAGGAGCAAAGUCAAUUGGCUCCUCCUGACUUGCUUGGAAGCUCAGGACCAGGAUGCAGAGGAAGGCAGUGGAUGAGGAAGAGAAUGCGCAGCACUGAGAGUGACGUCUGGGACAGUGAGGAUCCUCUGCUCUGUUAACAAUGAUUGCUGCAAGUGCAGCUCUGAGGAGAGAUUCUUGAUGAUUGAAUGCUCAGGACAGAAAUGGAGCAUCCAUCAACACUUGAGUCAAGUGAAAUUGUGAGAAAGAAAUGAGAAGGAGAAAUCAAGGCACAAGUAUUAUUGUUCACUUUUGAUUCUGAAGCAGUGUCAUUGCUCAGAGAGCUCCCACCUGCUAAUGAAGAACCCUCUUAUGCCAAGCAUUUCAGACUGGAAGGAAAAAUUGAGUGCUUAACUCUGAUCAGGAUGUCAGGAGUAGACAAUUGCUACUACAAAAAGUGAUGGCAAUCUCCUUUUUUUUGCCUGUCUAAUACAUACUGCCCAAGCGCUUCCAUGGAGAGACAGCAGAGAGACCAUCCAUCAGCAUCACAUUAUCUGAACCAGAAUUCAUUUCAUGGCUGCUUUAAAACCACUUGGAACAUGACACUGAGACCACCUCUGCUGUAAAAGUAAGCACACCUGGGGGAUGGGAUGGGAUGGGAUGGGAUGGGAGCCACUCAGGCCAAGCUCACACAUGGGAAUCUCAGCUGGGCCUGAUUCAAACUUUAAAUACUGUCUGAGAUAUUUGCCAAUGAGAGUAAUCUGAACUGCUAUCCUAGUAUUAAUAAAUUAGAGUAAAUUGUGAAUGCCAUGUGCUUCUGAAAUGCUUUAAACAUGGGCCCUGAAGCUGUAAAAGCGUAUUUAAAUUCAAGGAAGAUGGUGAUAGAGAUUUGUGUUCCAAACCCAGGGAAAUUCAGUUGAUGGCCCAGCCUCUGGCAGGUGUGACACCAGCAUUUGUUACAACACUGUUAGGAAAUUACUUUCUGACAGGAGUGGAUGGUUUUCAGUACAGGCACUGGGAUCCCCAGGAAAAGUGAAGUUCCUGGAUCAGAUUUGCUCUCAGUGUAGCCAGGUGCAAUGAGGACAGUGAAUCACUUUGUUACUCGGGGGUCUCAGGGGUGAGAGCAGCAGCUCCAUCCCCUCCCCUUGGCCAGAGCCCAGCCCCUCUGAGCAUGCACAGCCCCAGUGCCACUGACGGCAAGCUACUGCUCUUAACUCGAUGAAAUGCCUCUUGUGCUGGGCACACAGAUGAAGAGUAUCAGCAAUAAAGGCAGCCCAGUGAGCUGGG